rnacentral:rRNA from 1 species
CAACAGGGAUUGCCUUAGUAACUGCGAGUGAAGCGGCAAAAGCUCAAAUUUGAAAUCUGACGUUUUUGACGUCCGAGUUGUAAUUUGGAGGGAUAUCUUCGGAGCUGGCGCUGUCCUAAGUUCUUUGGAACCAGACAUCAUAGAGGGUGAGAAUCCCGUGCCUGGAUAGCUGUCCUGCUCCAUGUGAAGUGUCUCCGACGAGUCGAGUUGUUUGGGAAUGCAGCUCAAAAUGGGUGGUAAAUUUCAUCUAAAGCUAAAUAUUGGCGAGAGACCGAUGCGCACAAGUAGAGUGAUCGAAAGAUGAAAAGCACUUUGAAAAGAGAGUUAAAUAGUACGUGAAAUUGUUGAAAGGGAAGCGCUUGGGACUAUAUACAGCCGGCUGUGAUCAGCCACGUUUUUACGUGGUGCACUACAAGUCGGUUGAGCCAGCAUCGGUUCUGACGGCGGGAUAAAGGUUUCAGGAAUGUGGCUCCCCAAUUAUCGGGAGUGUUAAAGCCUGGAGCGCAAUGCCGCCAGUUGGGACCGAGGCUAGCGCGGAUUCGCAUGGAUGCUGGCUAAAUGGUCU